UGUCCUUUGGCAGCAAUAUACUGAAACUGGAAUGAUACAGAGUCGAUUAGCCGGUCCUGUGCAAGGAUGACACACAAAUUUGCUAAAUGUUCCAUAUUUUU
rnacentral:snRNA from 1 species